UGGCAGUGACCUGAACUUGUUCGAAUGAUUUUUUAGUUCCUGGAAACAUUGGCUAUUUAAGCCCUUUGCCAGGUCUUUAGAUUCGUCUAACUAACGGGUCCCCUCCCCCCUCGUAUUUUGGACAAUGGUGUUGAUAGGUGAAUAGUUAUUAUGGCCUAUAUGGCGCCCGGUGGGUGCAGUCGUUAGGGGUUUGUUUUCUUGUAAAACUCACGUGUAAACCACGUAUACCUGGUGAUUUUAUUUGACAAAAACUUCCAAAUCACUUUGGGCUAAACCAUUAAUUGAAUAGACUUCAAGGGUGUUCGGUUCCACUUUUAAGGCUACUCAGAAUGAGCGUUUUCAUUAAUGCCUUUCCACGGUGACUGUUGGUACUACUGCAAUUACUAUAAAGGUGUUAUUUUGUAGCUUACAGAUUAUUGUAAAAGUUUUGCUUUACGUUCAAUUUGAAAUUGUCUUGAUAGUUUUAGCUCUGUGCUUCAAGGAAUUACUGUUUCAAAGCUAAUGCUGUGUCAGUGCCCAGAAGAACAAUCUUAAAAAGGUUUGUCUAAACCUGUAUUAAAAGGGAAGGGGAGUACUUUAUACCGUUAUUACAUUUUCGACUUAAAAGAAAUUUCCCUAGUUUUAAAUUUGUGCUUUGAAAGUUUCAUAUUAGUUUGUUGGCUAAUGAGUACUUCUAGAGAUGGUGGAUUCCGCCCUUAUAUCCUAAAUUUCAGGGCAUCACAGUGUAUGUGAAGUUUUCAAACUAAUAUCGCGCACUAAGGACAUCGCUGCAUCCUGCGUUUGGAGGAGGGUUCAAUGGCUGUCAGAUACAUGUUGUCAGCACUUCGUGGCAAAUAGCUACUAGAAGUAACCUGCUUUUUUGUGAAUGGAAAAUUACUUCUAGAAGCUUCUGAUGUACCCAAAAUGGGCGAGUUUUUAGCAGCCAAUCAGUAUGCAGAAAAUAGAAACUUCUUAUAUGGGAAUGACGAUUGCCUGUCGUAAUUAGCUCCGCCCAUACAGUGGUAUAUAAGCCUCCAGAAGUGACUGCUCAGGACAGACAGAGGCCACUCAGAGGGUGGACAAGGUUUCGACGGGAGUCUCUCCCUUCAAGAUGACUUUAAUACCUACCUCCAUAAAGUCUUGUCCUGCUUGUGUUGAGGAGGAAUCACUAAUGCCUGAGACAAAGAGAAGCUGCCAGCCCUUCCUGUUUGUGAUGUGAUGAAGAGAAGUCUCCAUGCCCUUCAUGCCCGUGAAGCGCUUGCUGCCUGUGACGAGGGGUAGUCAGCCCUUCAUGCUUAUGACGAGAGGUAGUCAGCCCUUCCUGCCUGUAGGGUGGAGAGGUCUCCGAGCCCUUCCUACCUGUGACGAGGAGUAGUCGCCAGCCCUACCUGCCUUCCAUUUGUACAAGUUUUGAAUUACUGCUGCCAAUGAGAAAUCUCGGGUACUUGUGGGUAUGGAAGAAAACAACGUCCCUGGACGGAUGUCGAGGGAAUCUACGGGCCGUCCUCACCCUCCCUCUUAUUCGAUUACUACCCUGUUAAUUCGGCCCCAUAGUAAUAGGUGCUCACAGCAAAUCCCCCCAGUAGUACGAAGAAAUAACCUCGUGCUCGAGGAGUGUAUGAAAAGAAGAAAAAGUUCCCGGAUAGAUGUAGAGGGAAACCUACUGGCCACCCUGUCAAUUCGGCCCCCCCACUCCAAAUUUCAUUGGGUCACCCUGUCAAUUUGGGCCCCCACUCCAAAUUUCAUUGGGUCACCCUGUCAAUUCGGGCCCCCACUCCAAAUUUCAUUGGGUCACCCUGUCAAUUCAUGCCCCCACUCCAAAAAUUUCACUGGGCCACCCUGUCAAUUCGGCCCAAAUUUCACUAUCUUGAAAAUAUACAUAUAAGAGAACUAGCUGGCAACUAGUUGCCACAGUCGAGUAAGUAAAAAAUAUUGUCACAAGAGGGUAUUUAUUAGUUAAUUGUAUUACUGUACAGUAUUUUUAGUAAUUAUUAACUGGCUUUUAGUGAAUUGUACUGUAUAAAGUUUUGAUUAUAUUUAGUAAUUUAUGACCACUGAUUUUAUAGCUCCUUUCACUAAGGGCAAUGGAAACAAUGCUAAAUUUCAGAUAUUAGAUUAACUGCAGCUUUUUAUAUUUACUACCUACUUACAGCAACUUAACU